rnacentral:tRNA from 1 species
GAGAGAUGGCUGAAWGGUUGAUGGCCCCGGU